GGCGUCAGGACGAACGCUGGCGGCGUGCCUAAUACAUGCAAGUCGAACGGUCGUUUCUAUGGAAGCUUGCUUCCACUGAGAAGAUAGUGGCGAACGGGUGAGGUAACACGUGGGUAACCUGCCCAUAAGAGGGGGAUAACAUCCGGAAACGGGUGCUAAUACCGCAUAGUUUCUUGAUCGCAUGAUUGAGAAAGGAAAGACGGCCUUUGUGCUGUCGCUUAUGGAUGGACCCGCGGCGUAUUAGUUAGUUGGUGAGGUAACGGCUCACCAAGACGAUGAUACGUAGCCGACCUGAGAGGGUGAUCGGCCACAUUGGGACUGAGACACGGCCCAAACUCCUACGGGAGGCAGCAGUAGGGAAUCUUCCGCAAUGGACGAAAGUCUGACGGGGCAACGCCGCGUGAGUGAAGGAAAGGUUUUCGGAUCGUAAAACUCUGUUGUCAGAGAAGAACAAGUUGGAGAGUAACUGCUCCAGCCUUGACGGUAUCUGACCAGAAAGCCACGGCUAACUACGUGCCAGCCGCAGC
rnacentral:rRNA from 1 species